UACGGGGGGAGCAAGCGUUGUUCGGAUUUACUGGGCGUAAAGGGCGGGUAGGCGGCCACCGCAAGUCGACUGUGAAAUCUCCGGGCUUAACCCGGAAAGGUCAGCCGAUACUGCGGGGCUAGAGUGCAGAAGGGGCAACUGGAAUUCUCGGUGUAGCGGUGAAAUGCGUAGAUAUCGAGAGGAACACCUGCGGCGAAGGCGGGUUGCUGGGCCGACACUGACGCUGAGGCGCGAAAGCCAGGGGAGCGAACGGG
rnacentral:rRNA from 1 species